rnacentral:rRNA from 1 species
GCUGACGACCGGCGCACGGGUGCGUAACGCGUAUACAAUCUGCCUUGCACUAAGGGAUAGCCCAGAGAAAUUUGGAUUAAUAUCUUAUGGUUUAUAAUUAUGGCAUCAUAUUUAUAAUAAAGGUUACGGUGUAAGAUGAGUAUGCGUCCCAUUAGUUUGUUGGUAAGGUAACGGCUUACCAAGACUACGAUGGGUAGGGGCCCUGAGAGGGGGAUCCCCCACACUGGUACUGAGACACGGACCAGACUCCUACGGGAGGCAGCAGUGAGGAAUAUUGGACAAUGGAGGAGACUCUGAUCCAGCCAUGCCGCGUGCAGGAAGACGGUCCUAUGGAUUGUAAACUGCUUUUAUACAGGAAGAAUAAGGACUACGUGUAGUCUGGUGACGGUACUGUAAGAAUAAGGACCGGCUAACUCCGUGCCAGCAGCCGCGGUAAUACGGAGGGUCCGAGCGUUAUCCGGAAUUAUUGGGUUUAAAGGGUCCGUAGGCGGGCUGUUAAGUCAGGGGUGAAAGUUUGCAGCUCAACUGUAGAAUUGCCUUUGAUACUGACGGUCUUGAAUUAUUGUGAAGUGGUUAGAAUAUGUAGUGUAGCGGUGAAAUGCAUAGAUAUUACAUAGAAUACCGAUUGCGAAGGCAGAUCACUAACAAUUGAUUGACGCUGAUGGACGAAAGCGUGGGUAGCGAACAGGAUUAGAUACCCUGGUAGUCCACGCCGUAAACGAUGGAUACUAGCUGUUUGGAUUUCG